rnacentral:rRNA from 1 species
UACGUAGGCAGCGAGCGUUGUUCGGAAUUACUGGGCGUAAAGCGUGCGUAGGUGGUUUGUUAAGUCUGUUGUGAAAGCCCCGGGCUCAACCUGGGAAUGGCAAUGGAUACUGGCAGGCUAGAGUGCGGUAGAGGGUAGUGGAAUUCCCGGUGUAGCGGUGAAAUGCGUAGAGAUCGGGAGGAACACCAGUGGCGAAGGCGGCUACCUGGACCAGCACUGACACUGAGGCACGAAAGCGUGGGGAGCAAACAGG